rnacentral:misc_RNA from 1 species
AAGAAAACGCUAUCCCUCUCUCUCUCUCUCUAACGCAAUCCAUGGAUCUCUUUGGUCUGGGCAGCGUUGUUGUGGGUAAUAUCUGGUGAUUUAGUACAUUGUAUAUUCAGCGUUGCUUUCCCUUGGGCUAGUGUUUGUGAAAAUCGUGCAAAACAAGUUGGUGCAUAAACAUGCGGGCUCAAAGUUACAACUGAGGUUACAGGAAAAGCAUCAAGGCGAGAGGCGGGGACUUGGAGGAAUAUUUUUUGAUGAUCUGAAUGAGUAUGAUCAAGAUAUGCUUCUUUCCUUUGC